AUACGUAGGGUGCGAGCGUUGUCCGGAAUUACUGGGCGUAAAGAGCUCGUAGGUGGUUUGUCGCGUCGUCUGUGAAAUUCCGGGGCUUAACUCCGGGCGUGCAGGCGAUACGGGCAUAACUUGAGUACUGUAGGGGAGACUGGAAUUCCUGGUGUAGCGGUGAAAUGCGCAGAUAUCAGGAGGAACACCGGUGGCGAAGGCGGGUCUCUGGGCAGUAACUGACGCGGAGGAGCGAAAGCAUGGGUAGCGAACAGGAUUAGAUACCCUGGUAGUCCAUGCCGUAAACGGUGGGCGCUAGGUGUAGGGGUCUUCCACGACUUCUGUGCCGUAGCUAACGCAUUAAGCGCCCCGCCUGGGGAGUACGGCCGCAAGGCUAAAACUCAAAUGAAUUGACGGGG
rnacentral:rRNA from 1 species